AUUUUCCUCAUCCCAUGGAGGUAUUUGGACUUACAUCCUGAUUCGUCAUUGAUUCCAAAUUCCUCAUUUUCUCCAGUUUCUGAUAAGACGGCAGCUUUUGUUCUACGUCCUGGCAAUUUCUACAAAGCAAGGCUUCAAGAUGACCGUAGGAAGGUUUCAAAGAUCCCCUCAAACCAUUUGUUGGGCUUGCUGCUUCUUGCAGUUGUAGUUGAACUUACUGUGAGAACAUAAUUUUACAGCUGAAUCUAUAAUAACACAAUGAUAUCCAUAGACUAAUGAAGUAAUACAAUAUUAAUACAGAGGUAAUGGUAACAUUUUUUUUAUCCUUUAUGGACCCAACCGUGCUUUUCCUCUCACUAAAAUGGGAGCUCAGAAAACAUGGGGUGAAGGAAACUAGGGAGAAAGAGAUAGGCACUAAGCAGCAAACACAGUAUGGUAAGUGCUGUAAGCUAGGGCUAGGGUAAGGGAAAAGAAAGGUUUAUGUCAGAAACAUUCAGAGCAACGAUCUCUGCUUCCUUUCUUUCUUCCUUCCAUUUCCUCUCUCCUUCCCAGCACUCCCUCUUGCUUGUUUAUCUUUCUUUUCUCCCCCAGCAUUUCUUUGUUGGUGGGUUCUCUUGUGGGUUUUUUUUUCUUCCCUUUUGUUAUGGUUCAGGUCUGGCCGAUGUCCUGUUCCAUAGUUCCUGAUGUAGCUGGCGAUUGCGCUGGUUCAUAAUCGUAGUAGCAGAGAGCUGACUGAGGAGCCUCAGCAUGCUGGGCAUGGCGCAGACUUGGGCUCGGAGGGGAUGUGCUCAUUGUGCUGAAGAUGCUUAAACGGGAGGGAAAAUAGAGAUAAAUGCACAUGAACAGAGGAGGGCGGUUGUGGCGUGGAGCUGAGCUGGCAAAAGAAGACAAGGUUAGAGAGCUGGAUGGGGCUGAUAUACAGUCGGAAUAUGGUAGUCCCAGAGCAGUUGCAGACUCUUUGAACCAAAGGUCAUCUUCAUCUCCCUACAGCUGGAGCUCCUGACGGGCUCCUGUCUGUAGGCAGCUCCCAGGGCCAAGGGCAAGCGGGCUGGAGCAGAGCGUGGAAUGGCA
rnacentral:lncRNA from 1 species